rnacentral:misc_RNA from 1 species
GUUUUAUAUAAAUGCCAUUCAUUCUUGGCAUCAAAACAGAAGUAAACUAAAAAAUUUAUAAAAAAAAAAAAAAAAAUAGUAGUGAAUUGAUGCGUAAGAUCUUAUGCAGUCAAAAUUUUGUUAAAAAAUUAAUUCAUUUUAUAUAUUGGCCAGUUAGCCUGAUUUGAAAAAUUUUCUUAGACAGAAGUGCUAAAUGUAAAUAUGUAUAUUUUUUUCAGAUUCUUAUUAUUAACUUUACCUGUGUUUAAUAUACUUUUCUUUUGUAAAGAUUUUUAUUUACCAAAGACAGGGUCUUUGCAUUUUUUUAAAUGAUAAAAUCAAUAAAUUUUCGCAUUACUAACUUCAAGUUGGAGGAUUUCUUUUAAUGACUGUUGAUGCAGUUUAAUUGCUUAUUCAAUUAGAUGAACUAGAAUGACUUUAUCUUUAGAUUGAAAAUGAGGGGAGGUUUAUAACGUUUAACAAAAACACUACCAUAGGGGUCAUAAGGUUACAUUUUCUAUAACAUUUUGUGAAAGAAAUAUCCAGUCUCCAUACUUUCAUUUGACAUCAUCAUCACCAAACUAUAUAAUGUAUGCACAUUUUUUUAGUUCUGUAUCAAAUACUUAUUAAUAAGUGAGUGUUAAAUUAUUACAGCUUUUGAAGGCAAUGUAUUAUUACGACUGUAUUAUCAGUAAAAGAAAAAUAAAUCCAUGGUUGUCUUUUAUAUAUAUAGUAGAUGUUUUGAAGAAAAAAAAAAAAUGUAUUUAGUGUUGUCAAUUUGUAAAAUUCUUUUAAGUGUUUAUUUUUAAAUUUUAUUAAGAAUUAUAAGUAGAUGUAUCGAAACGUAAUAAUGUAAUGUAAGCUAUAGCUCCCGUAUAAGUUUAGCCAAAUACAGUUCAGCAUUAUGGUUUUGUUUCUUGUUAUUUCUGCUGUUGCCCGUUUCCUACGUCAGGAUUGUGUUUGUUUUAUCCAAGAUACACGUUUCUUUCAUUAUACUGUAAAUCUCUAUAUUUUCUCAUUGAAUGUAAGGAAUCUAGUGACGAUGUUUUAUCUGUUGUGGAAAGCGUAUUUGAGUUUAUAGUUAUAAAUUAAUGUUCAUUAAACUUACGAUACAGUC